rnacentral:rRNA from 1 species
UACAGAGACCUCAAGCGUUAUCCGGAAUCAUUGGGCGUAAAGCGUACCGAUCGGUGGUUAAGAAAGUCAGAAGUGAAAUCUCUCAGCUUAACUGGGAGACUGUCUUUUGAAACUUCUUAAACUCGAGGGGCAAAGAGGAAAGCUGGAACGAACGGUGUAGUAGUGAAAAUGCGUUGAUAUCGUUCGGAACACCAAUAGCGAAGGCAGGCUUCUGGGUGCCACCUGACACUGCUAGGACGAAAGCGUGGGGAGCGAAUGGG